rnacentral:lncRNA from 1 species
AUGUGCAUGUUGAUAUUAACUCACCCUCACACAGACUCUUUGGACAGGUGAGGUGAUACGACUAGCUGUCUGCGUUCACUGUGGUCAUGAUCCUAGACGAGGAGACUUUUUCUUGGUCAUGGUUGUUUGUUAAUGGCAGGCUGGGAUAGUUCUCGAGGAUUUGACCAGCUUGUUUAGUUGAGUCAGUUAUGUACAUAUUGUCACAGAGAGUUUGUUAUAUUUCUGCAUGUGACUUGUAUUUAUGUUUUACCUUGUGGUGGUGGUUGGGGAACAAAAUGCAUUUAGAUUUAUGGUUUUUAUUUUCACGUUGGUUUAAAUUCUCAGGGUAUGAUUAUGUUAUGUUAUGCAUGUGAUUAUGUAUUGAAAACAGGAGUAGUUCACAGGCAUGCUGGCUGUGUGAUAACAAAUCAUGCCAAAUAGCAUUAAGUAUGUUUGAUUUAGGUUGGGGAUGUGACAGGUGGUAUCAGAGCAGUAGUUUUAAAGCCAAAGUAUAUCACUGAGGCUAUGUUGGUGGAAUUGAUGUCUAGGAUCAUAGUGAACCAUAGGCUGUUAUCGGAUAUUGUCGGAGGUUGGAUAGGUUGUUAGGUUUGUCUGUUUAUUAUAUCAUUGCAUGUGCUAAAUUUAACUGAGCAGAAAGAAAUUGGCGGAUGGAGGAACAUCAGUUUCCUGCUAGAGGGGUGGGGCAAGAGGAAUCUGAACGAGUGCCAGCAUCAGCUUGAUGCCAGGAGAGACUGGCGCUUUGAGGACCAAUACAUGGAGUUCAGAUGCAGACAGUUAGAGGUACCCACCCUGCAUGAACAAUUUAUGAAGCUGAAUCCACCUGGGAAUUUAUGGGGGCGAUUGAUCCUUAGUGGCUGAUGAAUGCUGAAGAAGUUAAAUGCCAUAUUUGGAAGUAAUGGAGGUGACUGAUGAACAGGAAAUUAAAUUUGGCACGUCAUGUUGAGAGGAGAGGCAGAAAUUGGUGGGAAUCUAUGAGUAAGAAGGCCAGAGGCCCAACCCGAAGGAGUGCCAAUUUCAUGGCAUGAUUGUGGACAUUUUCAAUGAUCAUAACUUCCCAUUGUAUUUAUCGAUGCAAAAAGAACAAGAUUUAUGGUCAUGAAGAAGGAACAAUACUGGGAGAAUAUGGAAGAAAAAAUUUACAACUCUGUCUCGAUUUGCACCUGAGAUGUGCGUACUGAAGAGAUGAAGUGUAGGCGAUUUGAGCCGGGCCUAGACUUACAAAUCCGAAGUCGUGUAGCUAUGUUUGAGAGUAAUAUAUAUUCAGAGUUGUGUGAACAAAGCAAAAAUUGCAGAGCGUGAGGUAAGAGAGAAACUUACAGAGUAGACGAGAACAUUUCAAAAGAGGAGAUUUGAUCAGGGGCUAGACCGUCAAGACAAAAGGUGUCAGAUGUACAACAACAGUAGAGCGAGCAGAGGCCAGACUGAUGCGGGAAGGGCAAGACCUGUAAGUCUAGAGGUGGGGGAAAUGCUAGGGGAGAGGAUCAUGGAGGACCACCAGCUAGCCCUACUACUGCACAAUCUGGUGCUACGGGAGGGAUUGUUUAUUAUCGGUGUGGUGUUGAAGGGCAAUAGGAUCGUGAUGGGUCCACUACCAUGGGUGGACAAAAUUAUCAGUGUGGACAACCGGACACAUAGCAAGACAUGACUCAGGGUUGUUGCAGCUUCAUCAGUAGGGGAGUGUAGAGGGAGAGUAGUAACCAAAAAAGGGAGCAAAUAGAAGUGCACAACAGGGCAGCAACUACUCCAGAACCGGCGUGUCAGGGCUCGAGGUCUAUGCAAUGCACAGAGGGAUAGUCAAGCCAUCCUAAUGUAGUAACCAGGUAAACUUUUAGUCAAUAAUGGAAAGCUUAACGUAUGAUAGAUCCGUGCUACGCAUUUCAUUUGUGUCUAAUAUAUCUGCCAAUGCAUCUCUAGAUAGAUCAUGUAGUAGUCUAUGUCCCAACCUUUACUUGGGUUACCCCAGUGGGAGAUGUGGUAGUAGUGGAAAAGGUAUAUAAGGAGUGUGUUUUGAAAAUUAGUGAGAAUGAGUGUAGUGAUUUGAUGCACUAAAUAUGCAUAACUUUGAUUUGAUCUUGGGGAGGAUUGGUUAGUGCAUAAUCUGCUUCUAUUGACUGUUUUACGAAGGAGGUUGUUUAAAAUGCCAAAUGAAGUGGAGGUUUACAUUUGUCAAGUGGAAAGGGAUGUAAUCCCAACUUGUUUGAUUUCGGCUGUGAAGUAGAAAGUUUUUGCUGAAAGGCGGUGAUGGAUAUUUGGCAUACAUUGUUUGAUACAACUAAGUAGAACAGAAUUAUCUGAUUUUUCUGUUGUUAGAGAUUUUCCAGAUGUAUUUCCAGAGCGCUUCUAGGGUAAUACUAUACAUAGGAGGUAAGUUAUUCUCUAUUGAGUUAAUUGCUGGAACUUGCAGCACCUAUUUCUAUAGCUCCCGUAUAAAUGGCACCAUCUGAAUUGCUAAGAAUGAAAGUGCAUUACAAGAUUUGCUUGAGAAAAGGGUUUAUUUCAGGCCAGAGUGUAUCACCUUGGGGUGCGCCAGUUCUGUUUGUUGAAGAAGAAGGAUGGUACGAUGCUACUAUGUAUAGAUUAUAGCAGUAUGAAAUCAGGUCACAGUGAAGAACAAUAUCCUUUACCUCGGAUAGAGUGAUGGCUUGAUCAGUUACAGGGUGCUUGUGGCUCUUUCCAAGAUUGAUUUGAGAUCUGGGAUCAGCAGUUGAAGUAAAGACAGUGAUGUUAUCGAAGACUGCAUUCCGUUACUCGAUAUGGACACUAUGAGUUUUUGUAAUGCCUUUUGAGUAACGAAUGCCCAGCUUUUUUAUGGAUUUGAUGAAUAGGGUAUUUCAGAACCUGUUCUUGAUUCAUUUGUCAUUGUGUUUAAUUGACGAUCAUUUGGUUUAUUCUUGGAUUCAGGAGAACAUGAAAAGCAUUUGAGAAUUGUGUUACAAUCAGACUUUACGUGAAAGCAAUUGUAUGCUAAGUUCAGUUAAAUGUGAAUUUGGCUGUAUAUGUACAAUUUUGGGUCCAUGUUAUAUCUGCACUGCAUAAGGAAUACAUGUGGAUCCAAAGAAGAAUAGAGGCAGUAAUGAAUUGGAGCGGCGAAAAUGUGUCAAAAUUAGAAGUUUUCUGGGUUUUGACAGUUUUAUUGGAGUUUAUAAGGGUUUUUCUUCUAUUUGCUGUUCCAUUGACGCUGUUGACUCGCACAGAUGUCAAUGUGAGUGGACAUUGAUUGUGAGCGUAGUUUUCAGGAGUUUAAGACUAAGUUGACUUCAGCCAGGGUUGACCAUUCCCUUCUGGGAAGGGAGCUUUUGGUGUAUAGUGAUGCUUCACAUCAGGGAUUAGGGUUGUGUUGAUGCAUCAAGACAGUGGCGCUUAUGCGUCAGACAGUUGAAAGCCACAGACAGGAAUUAUCCCUAUACAUGAUUUCAGUUGGCUGCUGUGGUGUUUUGCUUUGAAGAUAUGAGGCAUUAUUUGUUAAUGGAGAGUCUUUUGAGUGUAUACCGUCAUCAAAGCUUAAAGUAGUUUGUUUACACAACGAGAUUUGAAUGCUAGACAUAGGAGAUGGAUGGAGCUGAUUAAAGACUAUGAAUGUUUGAUUCAUGACAUCCAGGAGAGCAAUGUGGUGGCUAUGCUUUUGAGUAGAAAGUCUACAGGAAGACAGCGUGUAUCCGAUGUUGUCGGGCAGAAUUAUGUGCAGAGACAUGAAUUACUUAGAGUGGAGUUUCAGCAAAAUAAUAUGGGUGUUAUGGUAUGGGCACACUUUGCAAGUGAGACCUUUAUUGCUUGAUCGUAAUUAGAGAAUUGCAAAUGCAAGAUGAUCAAUUGAGGAAAAUUAGACCGCAAAGUUGGUGGACAAAGUAAGUACUACGAGUUCUCUAUCCUUGAUGAGGGACCUUGAUGUGACUGGGGGAUGGUUUUGUAUUCCCAAUGAUUGAGUUGAAGAUGACAAUUCUGGUGAAGCACACCCAAUCAUUGUAUGCCCUGCAUCAGGUGGCACAAAGAUGUAUGAGAGAUCUGCGAGAAGUGUAUUGGUGGCCAGGUAUGAAGAAGGACUUUGCAGAGUUUGUGCAAAAUGUCUACAACUUGUCAAUAUUGAACUGAACAUCAGAAACCUGCUGGUUUGUUGCAACCUCUUCUAAGCCAGCAGUGGAAAUGGGAAGCCUAUUACGAUGGAUUUUGUGGUGGACUUUCCAAAGACUGCUACGGCUUUGAUUCUAUUUGGGUGAUUGUUGAAGAUUGACCAAUCAAGCUCAUUUCUUCCACUUGUCAAGGUGACUUAUUCACUUGACAGAUAUGCAAGCUGUAUGUGGAGAGAAUUGUUGAGAUUGCAUGGGGCCCAGUGUCUAUUGUGUCAGCUAGAGAUCCAAGAUUUACAUCCAGAUUUUGGCCAAGUCUUCAACCAAAGCUAUGGGCACAUAUUGCAUUCAGUACGGCGUUUUCAUCCUUCACAGAUGGGCAAUUAGAGAGGACUAUUCAGAUUCUAGAGGAUAUGUUGAGGCUUUAUGCUGGACUUCAAAGGUAGUUGGAAUGAUUACAUUGCCUUGAUGGAGUUUUGCGUAUACAUAGUUAUCGACUAGUAUUGUUAUGGCAUCAUUGCAGCUGUAUCAGCAGAAAAUGAGACUCCAGUGUGUUGAACUGAGUGGGUGAAAGACAGUUUGUUGGGUCCAGAGAUGAUUCAGGAUACAACAGAGAAGAUCAAAACAUUCAUGAGCAUUUGAAGGUUGCAACAUAGUAACAAAAGAGUUAUGCUGAUAUCGCCGGACGGGAGCUUGAAUUCGAGGUGGGAGACAAGUGUUCUUGAAAGUUUCUCCAUGAACGGUGUAUUUAGAUUUGGGAGAGAGGUAAAUUGAAUCCACGGUACAUCGGCACGCGUAACCAUAAGUGAGAGGGUUGCACAACAGCUUAUAGAUUAGACUUACGCCAGAAAUGUCCGAAGCUACACAAUGUGGUUUCAUGUAUCUUGUUGAGGAAGUAUGUCGCAGAUCCAUCACAUGUGUUAGGUCACACCCACUAUUGCGUUAGAGAAUGACUUGAGUCUGUAAGAGGUACCCGUUCAAUCUUAGCCGAAGGAGAAGUUCUUCGGACAAGUGAUACCGUUGGUGAAAGUCCUGUGGAGGACCCAAACAGGUAGGAAGCUACAUGGGAGAGUGAGGAGUUAUGCGGGGACAAUUCCGUCUUAUUUUCAGGUGAGAAAUUCGGGACGAAAUUCUUUAAGGCGGGGAGAGUUGUGAGACCCUAAAUCCUAAUUUUCAUAAUUAGUUUUCAUUCCUGCAUAAUUAUAUAGAAAUGUCUUUUAAUUAAUUAAUUAGUUUAUUAACGUGAAUCACGUGCGUUAUAUAUAUAUUGGGAGUGUAUGUGCUGGGAGUCAAAUGUUAAUCAUUAAAGUUAUGGUACAAAGUAUGAUUAUUUAACUUAGUUGGGGUUAACUCGAAAGACUUAAAGACUUGUGAGAUAAUAAAGAAGACAUCAAAAUUAGAGGGAAAAGGUGUCAAUUUAAUAAAACGUUUGUCUGCCAUUGUAAUCUAUAUUGCGUGUACAGGAAAAAAAAAAGAAAAAAAGAACAAGAAAGAGAAAAGGAAGAGAUAAAUCGAGAGAAAGAAGAAGAAAGAAGGCAGGAAAAACAAGAACAGGGGAAGGAGAUCUUGAGUGAGGAGAAAUGACUUAAUUUGGAGCAAGAAUGUAAAUUCUUGGUAAGAUGUUAUUUAGUUAUUGUGAUUAUGAAUUUAAGUUUCAAUUUUCAAUAUGUGGGGGGUUGGUGUUUCGAAUUUGUUAGCAUAUACAUACUGUAGUAGCCAUUGUGUUGAAUACUCUCAGAAGCUAUAGUUUUUUUUUUCUUCUAGGUGGUAGAUAUGUAUUUAAUGAUGUAUCUUAUCUUUAGAUUGUGGGCUUUGGGGGUUUUGAAAUUUUCUUUAUUAUUGGCUUUUUAAAAAAAAAAUCACAAAAAAAACUAAGGUUAUAUAGAUAUAUAUAUAAUAUAUAUAUAUACACACACCACGCAUACACACACGUAUGUAGAUUUGAAUAGAAACCAGCAGGUCAAAGCUAUUCUGAAAAUUUGAAAUGUUCAAGGUGCAGGACUGGAAAAAUUAGCCAGUGUGGGCGCGCCGAAUGAGACCUAAUCUUGUACCCUGUUUGGUAAAUUGGUCAAUCGAUGAGUUUUGGGCGUAUAAUAAGUCGCUUUCUAUGUUUUUCCAGUGUUCUGAAUCCAAUGGUAGGGUCUGUUUAACUUAAUUUGACUGUUUAUACUGAUGUGAGACAGCAAGUAGUGUAUCGGUAGAGAUUUUAAGGCGUAUAUGGCGACAACGACGGUGAAAACUUGUCCAAUCGCCCUUAAAAUUUUACGGGAAUGUAAUACUACCAUUUAGUGAGAAUCUAUCGAAUCGAAUUAUAUAUUUAUAGAUUUUAUUAUAUCAUCGUACUUUGUACUGAUAAAUGGUUGAUUAACAGGAGUUAAGGAAGGAGAGGGGCCUUGAGCAAACGUAAGGUGUGAAUUAAUUGCGGUGACAGGUGGAAAAUAAAAUACAUAUAGUCUUAUUUUCUAUUGAAUUUCGUGUAUUUUAUACGAUUUGGUGAUGAUUAAUUAUAGGUGAUGUGGCAAUGCAUUCAUUUAUCUUGUGUGUUUGUAAUGGCACUGAGGAAGAUUAGUCAUGAGGACCUUUGCCUAGGAUGUGACCAGUAGGGGCAUUCCUUGAUACGGCCGUCGAUAUUUGGGGCAACGUUAUCUAACUGCGCGCUACAAUGUGGUGAUGCAUUUCUGCUUGAUGUACUCUAAACAAAAAUUUUUUUCGGGAUAUUUUUGGUGAUGUUUAUAUUAUCAUCUUUAUGAUUCGAUUAUCUAUUGUGAGCUGUUGAUUAUUAAACCUCCACCCACACCGACUCUUUGACAUGUGAGGUAGACGACUAGCUGUCUGGUUUCACUGUGGUCAUGAUCCUAGACUAGGAGCUUUUCCUGGUCAUGGUUGUUUGUUAAUGCAGUGCUUGGGAUAGUUUCUCGCCUUGCAUAGAUUGUUUAUUGAGUCAGUUAUGUACAUAUUGUCACAGAGAGUUUGUUAUAUUUUCUGCAUGUGACUUGUAUUGUAUGUUUAACCUUGUGGUGUGGUUGGUGAACCAACUGCAUGUAUAUUUUACAGGUUUUUAUUUUUUAUUCAACGUUUGGUUUUUAAAUUCUCAGGGUAAUAUUAUUGUUAUUUGUUAUGCAUGGAUUAUGGUAUUGGAAACAGGAGUCGUUCACAUAGUCAUGGUGGCCUUUGUGCGAUCACAUCCUCUAAAUAGCAUUAAUUAGUUUGGAUUUUAGGUUGGGGAUGUGACAUGAAACGAUAUGUUUCAAAGUAAUAAAGCAAUGUGACACUCAGGGUCCCCCGUGGUAGGACCUUAAUCUACCUAAAGGUAAUAUACAGGUAAAUGAGGGAUAUGAAAAAAAAUCAGUUACAAUAAGGAUCUCUCCGUCCUAAAGAUCCACCCGACCUAUAUGGUCCCCCAUGUUAUGUUAUGUUAAUCCGGUUUUUACGUUUCAGAUAUGCUAAAUGUUGUUUAUGGAAAACAGUGACGCCAUAUUUAUGCAAGAUCAAGUUUUAUGAAUGAUGUCUUCAAGAAUUAUUUAUAUCACUUGUCUUCCACACGUAUGAUGUAUGUAUGAUAAUAAAAAUGUCUGGUAUUUUUCGUUCAUGUUCUAUUGUUCUUCACUAAGGUUUUUACUUACGUUUUUGAAAACCCUUCAACCUUUCAAGCAACCAAAGCGAAUAAUCGUAGAAGGUGAAGCAUAUUUUAGUUUUGAUAGCCCAAGGGCUUUAAUGUGUUAUGUUGAUGGCUAUGUAACGACCCGCCCGAUGCCCGUGGUUCGCGCGGCAUCGAGCGUCGUCACUUUUGAUUUUUUCCCCUUUCUUCGUAAAAUUUUUCUUUGAAACUUUUUAUUUCUUUUCUUUAAAAACUUUUCGUGUGCAGAGCGAAAUAUAUAAAAAAUUUAUUUUUUGGAGUCCAAUAAAACUCAAUAUUAAAAUUCAUUUAUUUAAAUACUGCCGCAGACGGUAAGAGAUACUGUAACCUGUCCCUAACAUUCAUACAUACUCAAUACAUUACUAUUCAAAAUCGUAUUUUCUAAUCCGGACUAUCUACAAUAAAUUCCGUUGUUCUAUUACAUAACAUGAUUCUACUAAUUUACACUACUCCACUUGCUUUCCCUUAAUCAACCUAAAUAUUGCAGAAACAUAUUCUAAGCACAUUUGCUUAGCGUAUAACCAUACUCUCUAACAUGAUUUUAUCAUACAUAUCAAAACAUAAAUACUAUGUAGAAUGCAUAUAACAUACAUAUCGUGGAGAAAGAUAAAAUAUUUAAUCCUUUCGCAAUAACUUUUUUCGAAAUUCAUGCUUGUACCUUGUAUUUUACUAUAUCGAGUCACCAUAAUUCUUGAAACAUACUUAUGCACUAUGACCUCCCGUCCUUAGUCGGCGUUUGAUUAACGUGAUUUCCACACCCCUUGGUCAGGGCUGCAGGCCGAGUACCUUCCCGAAAGGUAGAAACAUGGAUGUACCUAGGCAUAUUACUACGAAAAUCUUUUCAAAAGAUUCAUAUCUAUUCAUGAUUUGAUUUGCACUGCAUAGCAUAAUAUACUUCCAUGCAUAUAUCAUAGCAUAAAAGUAAUUUACUCUACUUUAGAGAUUAAUGUUACUUCUACUUUGCUUUCUUGGUUUUUUUAAACUCGCUCGUUUGUUCCUUAGGCUAAUCGGAUCGAUUCCUAUACAUUCAUUUGUCGCUAAUUACGAUGAAUAUUUUACUUAAGUAUUUAUAAUGUAACUAAGUUAUUUUUUUUUUUCAAGUACUAUGCUAACCAUACAUGUUUGGUUCUUUAAAAAAUGAUUUUUUGUAAAGCCUAAACUAUUGAAAAAUUUUCAACUCGCUGAACUGAAAAUUAAAGAAUUCAUUUUUUCUUUUUCGAACUUGCAAUUCUAUUUGGGCCACUAAAUUUAGAAUUUAAAAAAUAUUAUUUCCGAUCAAUAUGUGGUAUUUUAAAUAGCUCACAUUCUCGGACACUUGAAUCAGCUAAAUGUUUUCGUAUGAAAAAGUUUAUGGCUAAAAUACCGACAGUGAGUUUUGGAAUAACAACCUAAACCGUAACUCAUUUUUCUACUCGAACCUUCCAAGUCUAUUUUGAGCCAUUUAAAUUCGAAUUUGAUUUUAUUAUUUCACAUUAACUUGUAGGUAUUUAAAAUAGCUAUUUACAGAUACUUGAAUCAAUAAAAUAUUUUCGUAUGAAUAAGUUAGGCUUAAACAAUACCGACAGUGGGUUCGAAAUAAAAACAUAACUUAAUUCAGUUUUUUCUACUCGUACUUUCCAAGUCUUUUCGACCCUUUAAAAAACUUGAACUGGAAAAAUUGUAUUUCAUGAAAAUCUGGUAGAUAUUUACAGUAUCUUUCAUAUGCAACUUGAAUCACAUCAAAACGAUAUCGUUAAGAGACUUGGGUGUCCAAAAUACUACUGCUGGUCCGAUGCGUAAAAAAUUCGUAUUUCAAUCAUACGAAAUUUGAUUCCAUAAAAAAUUUCAAAUGAUAAAAUUUUUUGGGAUAUCUUACACAGAUUAUUUACACUAAAUAUGAUUGCUAUAAUAGAUUUAACAUCUCAGAAUUUAGCAGGAAGUGGAGAAAGAAUUUGAAUCUACCUCAAUAAAGUUCUCUGCCUCUUCUUGACUGGUUUCUCUCUCUGUCUACCUUAUCUUUCUCUCUCGUUCUUUCUCUCCUCUUUCUCAUUCUUUCCCCUUCUCUCAUUGGAUACACAUAUAAAUACCCAGCACAUUUUUUCUUUUUCUUUUUAUUUUCAAAACCAAAUCAUUUCCAACAUUCAUCAUCACAUCUUUUUCCUUUCUCUUUAUUUUCUUUUCCUUUUUCCUUUUUCCUUUUCUUUCUUUGGAAGAGCAUUACGGAUUCUUCCGUUUCAAUUAUAAAAAUUGCCCACUUUAGCCCCUCCAACUUGUUAAGUAAUUAUUUUACAGUUAAAUAUUCAUUUAAUUUUAACCCAAA